AGGUGACUGCUGUGUGCAAAAACCACCGAACGUGUCUUUUAAGAAAGAGCGGGCUGCAUGCAAUGGAAGACAUUAUGCCUACAAGGUUAAACUGAUAAGUGUAAGGAAGUGUCACUACGAUCAGUACGAGAUGAAGAUUGUCCAGAUUAUACAAAAUGGGUCAGAAGCUGAUUUGAAAAAAAAUGACAGGAGGGUGUUCCUCUCUCAUGCCAGCUGUAGGGCAGGGCUUGCUUUGAAAGAGGGUCAGGAAUAUCUGAUCAUUGGGCCGAUCACUGAUGUUUUGCACACAGAAAGCACAUCCAACAGGUACAUGUAUGUGCUGCAUAAGCACACGUGGGUUGAGCGCUGGCCGUCUGAGGCUGAAUGUAUGCGUGGAUCCGCUCCGAAGUUUAAAUGUGCUGAGCUGAAGAGUUUCGCAGCAGAAGUGACAAACAGAGGCUGUCAGAUUUGAGAGACGUCUCACAAAUGUUAUUCUGUAAACACUAAUGACAGAAGCACAGCUGUGCACAAUUUUGUCAUUCUGUCUUGUUCAAUACAUCACAGCUUCAAAACAAGCACAAGAUCAUCUGCAUGCAGUCAUUUAAUGUUUGUACCAUAAUCUUAGCAAAAACAAACCUCCGUAUACUUUGAGGUCAUAUUACACUGUAUAUCAUUUGAUAAAAGUGUUACAAUACUGCUGUUAUGUUGUAUAUUUUUAAAUGAACCUUUUAAAAUUAUAAAUUUGAUUAGAUGGUUUCAAAGAAUGUGUUUAUGUGCACAGCAAUACACUGAUAUCUAUCAAAAAUCAAUUCAGUCUUGAA